UCCAAACGCAGUGACUUCGCGAAACGCAGUGACUUCGUCUUCUUCGUCUUUGUCCCACAAAUCCCAAAUUGUGUGACUUCGAAAUCCCAAAUCAUGGCAUAAAACUCUUUGAAAUCCCUAAAUCCCAAAUCCCUAAAUCCCAAAUCACAGCAAACACAUAAAAUUCUUCUCUUUGAAACCCUAAAUCCCUAAAUCCCUAAAUCGUCUUCUUCGAUCUCUUUGAAACCCCUAAAUCAUACCGUAGCUAAUCGUACACCUCAAGGCCAGCGUCAAUCCGUUCAGCACGAAGGUUUAAUCAAUUCCAUAUUAUUCCUUCAAUUUCGCAAUCUUAGGGUUUCAUAUUCGAACUAAUUAUCGGUUUCGGAAUUUGAAUUAUGCGAAUCACGCGUUUGUGAUUUUUUCGAUUUUAAUUUCUCUUUGUUUAUUUUCUGUUACUUAUAGUAUGUUCUUGCUGUUGCUGCUGCAUAAGUUUCUGGUUUUUGUGCUUCUCACUAUGUUUCUGGUUGCUUCACAGUUCUGUUUCUGAAGUCUGAAUGCGAACCCUCUGCGAGACCACCGUGAGGCAACGCGAAAGUUGUUUGCUACCACAGCAUCACUAUCUUCAAUCAAUGGCUCCAGGUAACCGAAUAAGAAGAGUCAAGAAGAUGGUAGCACUAAUUAAGGAUUAUGAAGCAACAUCAAUAACUAGGAAAUGUUUAGAUAUUUUAAGAACUUAUUUUGCCAUAAUGUUUUGUAUGUUUAACCACUAUACUAAUGUUUAUGUUUUAGUUUUUCAAUGUUUGAACUACAUUGAUUUUUUUU